UACAAUUUCUAUGAUUAUCCGACCUAAAAUCUUAUGCGCCAUGUUGGAUUCGUCUUUUUUGUCGUAUCGUACAAAGUCCUGUCUGUCGAAGAGGUUUGGUGCAUUUAGUGUUCCAAUAAUUUGCUCUUUUGUAGAUAUUGUUUCAAAGAUAUACGGACAGGAAAUUGAUGGUGAAAAUGUCGAAAUUUCGAGAGCAAAUGACAAAAGAUCAGAUUGAUAUGUUAAUAGAAAUGUAUCGUUGUGAGGAAUGUUUAUGGAACACAAAACACCCGUCAUAUUAUAAUAAAGAGUCACGAAAUCAAUCUACGGACAAUAUUAUAGAGGCAAUGGAAGAAAGUUUCGGAACUGAAUUUACAGCGGAAUACGUAAGCAAUAAAAUUCAGAACCUCAGAUCUUAUUACUGUCGGGAAACUCGCAAAAAGAUAGCGGCGAAGAAAGGCGGAGACGACUAUCAAUGCUUAUGGAUAUAUUACGAUUCCUUGGACUCCUUUCUACGAAAUCACGUGAUGCCUAAAAGAGUUGGAGAACAGGAAACCAAUGGUUCAGCGGCUGACCAGAUUGCUGAUAUUGACGAGGGAGCUGAUAGCGAUUCUGAGCAGCUGGAUGUUAAGAGUGAGACCCAAAUUAAAACCGAUAAUAAUUCCGAUUCCGAAAGAACACCACGGGUA